rnacentral:rRNA from 1 species
CUUGUAGUACUGGGACUCUAACCAUAGGCCAUGAAUCUGGUCUUGGGACACUGUCAGGUGGGCAGUUUGACUGGGGCGGUCGCCUCCCAAAAGGUAACGGAGGCGCUCAAAGGUUCUCUCAGUACGGUCGGAAAUCGUACGUAGAGUGUAAAGGCAAAAGAGAGCUUGAUUGCAAGACAUACAGGUCGAGCAAGGAUGAAAAUCGGACUUAGUGAUCCGGUGGUUCUGCGUGGAAGGGCCAGCGCUCAACGGAUAAAAGCUACCCUGGGGAUAACAGGCUUAUCUCCCCCAAGAGUCCACAUCGACGGGGAGGUUUGGCACCUCGAUGUCGGCUCAUCACAUCCUGGGGCUGUAGUAGGUCCCAAGGGUUGGG